CGAAUAGUGCUGUCUUUUUUUAGUGUCCGUAUCGCUCCUCCAGUACGUCCGUCUUGUCUUUAAUCUGAUUGCAUGGUACUCUCCAGACGCACGCCUUGAAGCGUUCUCGUGACCUCUCAUUAGCCAAUCGCGUUAUAACAGUGGAAAGUCACAGUGCGCAUCGUCGGACUGCAGGUAUAGCGACCACUUCAGUCCACAGACAUUUUGAAGAUUACUUACCUAAGAAGCGUUGAUGGAUAAGUCUGAUCUCGAUAUAUCCUUUAUUCUGUGUUGUAUUAAGAUAACGAGAAGAGCGGGACUGUUCUAUUUAUACUUAACAUAUCGAAAGUGUCUUAGGCGACGUCUGAAGCGUACAUUUAAAAGACGUUUUCUUAAUUGUGAGAAUGAUUGCAAAUAUGCAACUUCCACUUAUAACCAUCCUGCUUUUCAAGUCAUGUUUGUGUCUUCAAAUUGACACGGUCAUUCAGUUUCUGCGUUCGGGAGUGUUCGGCAAGGUGGAGACUGUCGAGCAGGUUUUGGUCAACGGAGCCCCUCUCUCCAGCUGCGGGAAAGACGUCAGCAGCAUUCUCAAUGCUGUAUUGCUGAUCAACUACAACGAAUCUUUUCAAACGAUAGAAGAAAGUGGCAACAACACAAUGAAAAUAAGUCAUACUUACAUGCGUGUACGAGAGUGCAAACUGGAUAGCUUUGGAGUGUUGCUUUUGACAGACCGUCUUCUAGUUGAUGGGAAUAACUUCCUUACUCUGGACCGAGCCACGGACACUUGGACAGCAGAGGGACCACAGGCUCUCCCUCUGAAACAUCUAUGGGACCGGGAGAGCACACGCACAAGGCGGGAAAUUAUGCAACUCCAUGAAAGCUGUACCAAACUACUGGAGGAGAUCACAUGUUCUGAGCCCGGCGCUACUGGAGCAGGGAUGGACAUUCCGACGGCCCUGGCUCCGCUGCUUGCAGGCCUGGGAUUUGUUAUAUUGGUUAUUGCUAGCUUCCUCAUCUCAAAGAAACAAGAUCCCACCAUUUCAGGACAUCCUGGAGGGGUCAUUGGCUCCAUAAUUCACUAUCCUCAUAAUAUCUCAGAAUUAUCACACAGCCCUAAUCCAGGAAGAGGGUACCAGGUCCUCUAAAACCCAACCUCCUUCUGUUCACUGGUUCUCACUUCACAACCAUCUGGUCUGGUGACCAUAAAAUGCCUUAUGUGUGGAUUGACUUUCUACCAUCUGCCUCAAAAUAUGUACACUCUCCCUUGAUGUGGUGGAAAAUGCUCACUUUUGCUAGUUAAAUAUUUUUAAAUGACCCGGAGUGAGAAAACAUUGUAAUUGAGAGUAUGACAGAAACUAUUGUGGCAUCACCAAUUGUGUAAAUUUAGACACUUACUGUAAAUUGAAAUCUUAGUGGUAAAGGAUAUCAAUACGAUUUUAUGCACUUUAUAAUCGAUUUUUUUCCCUGGGUGGGAUUCUAACCCUGUGCAUUUUCAUGUAAUUGUACUUAUGCUCUUCAGCCUUUUAUGUCAACACAGACACAGCAUGCAUGCACAUAUACACAGACACAGCAUGCAUGCACAUAUACACAGACAUAGGCAUCAACAUACACACAGAGAUCCAAAAAAGCAGAUGCACAAUACUGAACACAAUUCUGUCAAAAGGUUUGUGUGUAGAAUUUUGUUACUUUAUUGAUAUAUUCAAUCAAUUUUAAUGACCAUGCCUGAACCAAAACACUAUUAAAAAACCACAUGUUGCCUUAGUGUGAAGAGCUACUGUAUUUUAAGGCAUCUGAAUGUAUAAUGAAACAGGGAUUUGCUGAGAUUUCUGAUUACAGGUUUUGUCACUUCAUUUGUGUAAUGUAACAUACAGAUGUGUAUCACAUUAUUAAAGAAAGCUAUCUGUUUAUUACCUUUGUACUUGUCUUGGAAUAUUCCGAGGUCAUCUUUCAUUGUAAGUGUUUAUGAAGUGUUUCUGAAGUCAGAUAGUUGCACUGGCAUCCACACUUAAGUACCAAAUCCAUAACCCCAUUUUCAGUGUGUUUUCUUUGUCAUUUAACAGAAAUGUUUAUCCAAAUUUAUGGAUUAUGAAUAUUUAAGGUGAUAUACUGCAUAUUUUGGGCAUUUCUUUUUGCCAUACUUUUGGUAUAUAUAUGUUUGUCAUCUAUCAGCGAGUCCUUUUUACAGAACUCUGAAGGCUCUUGUAAGUACUGUCAUCUGGCCAUCCUGUUUUUAAAGUGGUUUGCCCCUUGCAAUGUAAAACCUGUAGUUCUGUUGAAGUGUGUUGCGGUGGCUUUGUCGUUCACACAUACUUACCAAAUAAUGUUAAAUAUUUUUCUUCACAAUUUCAAAUGUUUAGUCAUUUAGCAGACACUUAUCCUGAGCAAUUUGAAGGAGUAACAAUGGUUUCAAGUCUUGGUCUUGGGCAAAACUAUAGAUUUUCUAAUUGGUUUUAAUCAGUUAAUGGAACUUGCAGACUCCAAAGGCAAACACCAAGCACAUAAUGAAGACUAGACCCUCAAGAACAGGGUCAAUCAAGUACAAGGUGAUGGCGAAAACCAGCAGACACUCGGCCCUCCGUGGAACAGCUUGUACACCCCUGCUCUAAAGCAAAAUUAAUCUACACUGGCCCUAACAAGCUGCACACCUGCAGUCUGACUUCCAGCAGUUACAAAUCUUAUUUAUAGAUUGUGGGUUGGUACAGAAUGCAAAUCAAAUUAAUUACAUGCUAGUUUUUAAGUCAGA
ensembl:lncRNA